rnacentral:rRNA from 1 species
UACAGAGGUGGCAAGCGUUGUUCGGAAUCACUGGGCUUAAAGGGCGCGUAGGCGGCUUGCCAAGUCAGGGGUGAAAUCCUGCAGCUUAACUGUAGAAGGGCCUUUGAUACUGGCGAGCUCGAGGGAGGUAGGGGUAUGUGGAACUUCCGGUGGAGCGGUGAAAUGCGUUGAUAUCAGAAGGAACGCCGGUGGCGAAAGCGACGUGCUGGAUCUCUUCUGACGCUGAGGCGCGAAAGCCAGGGGAGCAAACGGG